AUAACGCAGCUGCCAUGCGCUCCUUCAACCAACAAUCAUGAACCAUUUGGUCUUACCUAGCCGCUCACAUGUGCUCGCGUGCUGCGCUGCCUAGUUACUCGCAGUUGUUUGGAUAAAAAAUACUUUUUACUCUGACGAAUUUGAAUUUUUAAUAUCUAAGCAAAGUUUGUUACGGACGGACGUGUGUGUUUUGGACGUGAAGUGCGGCAAACUACAAAAAAUACUGUAAAGUGGAAAAUAGCAAAAUAAAUAAAAAUAAACAAAAAAAAUUAACGUAUUAACGUUACGGACACGCAAUGUCCAAGUGGCGUGCAAGUGUUUAAUCUCUUGUGGUGUGCAUUUUUAUUUUGUUAUAAUUUUUCGUUUACGGAGUGAAAACUAAAAUUCAUAAAAAUAUUAUAUGAGUAUUUGAAAAAUGUAAAAAGUAUGGAAAGAAAUACUUUCUAAGCUGUGAGGAAUAAAUAUAAGGAAGCAGUUUUAUAUGUAUGUACAUAAGUGUGUUUUAACUUUUUUAUUAAAAGUGCCGUUACCAGUGCAAACAAAUAACAAAGUAAAACUUCUAAAACUUUGCCGUUCUUUAUUAACGAAGAAUAUUUAACAAAAUAAAGUGUCAAAACAUUGACCUAUAAAUACAUACAUAUGUUUGGUUAUGAGGAAAUGUGCAGUUAAAAACAUUGCGCGCCAUUAACCGUUCCUUGCAGAGAAAUAAAAAAAAAUACACUACAAAAAGAAGCAAAAAAAAA